rnacentral:rRNA from 1 species
UACGGGGGGUGCAAGCGUUAAUCGGAAUUACUGGGCGUAAAGCGUGCGUAGGCGGUUCGUUAAGUCUGUUGUGAAAGCCCCGGGCUCAACCUGGGAAUGGCAAUGGAUACUGGCGAGCUAGAGUGUGUCAGAGGAUGGUGGAAUUCAUGGUGUAGCAGUGAAAUGCGUAGAGAUCAUGAGGAAGACCAGUGGCGAAGGCGGGUCUCUGGACAGUUCCUGACACUGAGGCACGAAGGCCAGGGGAGCAAACGGG